CACCGACCCGACAUGAGCAGACAGCUCCCCCCCCCUCCUCUCUGCAGUGUGAUAUUCCUUCAUGUGUGAGGAGGGGGCAGAGCCAGAGGAGCCGAGGCAGCAGCAGGAGAUAUGGAGACUCUGCACCUUCUGACCUCCGGUGUCACUGUGCCUCCAGUAUAAAGUUCAGUCCCUCACUGGUCCUCCUACACAGCAGCAAUGGGGGACGCGGAACAGACAGACGCA